UGGUGCAUGGUUGUCGUCAGCUCGUGUCGUGAGAUGUUGGGUUAAGUCCCGCAACGAGCGCAACCCUUAUCAUUAGUUGCUAACAUUCAGUUGAGAACUCUAAUGAGACUGCCAGUGAUAAACUGGAGGAAGGUGGGGAUGACGUCAAAUCAUCAUGCCCCUUAUGACCUGGGCUACACACGCGCUACAGUGGCCGGUACAAAGAGUUGCGAAACUGUGAAGUUAAGCUAAUCUCAUAAAGCCGGUCUCAGUUCGGAUUGGAGUCUGCAACUCGACUCCAUGAAGUCGGAAUCGCUAGUAAUCGCGGAUCAGAACGCCGCGGUGAAUACGUUCCCGGGUCUU
rnacentral:rRNA from 1 species